AUUGAACGCUAGCGGGAUGCUUUACACAUGCAAGUCGAACGAGUGGCGGACGGGUGAGUAAUAUAUCGGAACGUGCCCAGUAGCGGGGGAUAACUACUCGCAAGAGUGGCUAAUACCGCAUACUAUUGGAGCGGCCGAUAUCGGAUGAGCUAGUUGGUGGGGGAAAGGCUCACCAAGGCAACGAUCCGUAGAUGGUUUGAGAGGACGACCAGCCACACUGUGAUUGAGACCCGCGCCAGACUCCGACGUGAGUCAGGAGUGGGGUAUUUUGGACAAUGGGGGAAGCCCUGAUCCAGGCAUCCCGCGUGUAUGAGAAGGCCUUCGGUUUGUAAAGUACUUUUGGCAGGGAAUCGGUAUCUGCAGAAUAAGCACCGGCUAACUACGUGCCAGCAGCCGCGGUAAUAC
rnacentral:rRNA from 1 species